GAUGAAGAACGUAGCGAAAUGCGAUAAGUAGUGUGAAUUGCAGAAUUCAGUGAAUCAUCGAAUCUUUGAACGCACAUUGCGCCCCUUGGUAUUCCAUGGGCAUGCCUGUUCGAGCGUCAUUUGUACCCUCAAGCUUUGCUUGGUGUUGGGUGUUUGUCCCGCGUUGCGCGUGGACUCGCCUUAAAGCGAUUGGCAGCCGGCAUAUUGGCCUUGGAGCGCAGCACAUUUUGCGCUUCUAGUCAUGAAUGUUGGCGUCCAUUAAGCCUAUACAUUUGCUCUUGACCUCGGAUCAGGUAGGGAUACCCGCUGAACUUAAGCAUAUCAAUAAGCGGAGGA
rnacentral:misc_RNA from 1 species